GACGAACGCUGGCGGCGUGCUUAACACAUGCAAGUCGAGCGAUGAAACUACUUCGGUAGUGAAUUAGCGGCGAACGGGUGAGGAACACGUGAGGAAUCUGCCUUCUACACUGGGAUAACUCCGGGAAACCGGGGCUAAUACCGGAUAUGAAACUUGGUGGCAUCACCGAGUUUGGAAAGUUUUUCGGUAGAAGAUGACCUCGCGGCCUAUCAGCUUGUUGGUGAGGUAAUGGCUCACCAAGGCGACGACGGGUAGCCGGCCUGAGAGGGCGACCGGCCACACUGGGACUGAGACACGGCCCAGACUCCUACGGGAGGCAGCAGUGGGGAAUAUUGGGCAAUGGAGGAAACUCUGACCCAGCGACGCCGCGUGCGGGAUGAAGGCCUUCGGGUUGUAAACCGCUUUCAGUAGGGAAGAAGCGAAAGUGACGGUACCUACAG
rnacentral:rRNA from 1 species